AACGAACGCUGGCGGCAGGCUUAACACAUGCAAGUCGAGGGGCAGCAUGAGUGUAGCAAUACAUCUGAUGGCGACCGGCAAACGGGUGCGGAACACGUACACAACCUUCCUAUAAGUGGGGAAUAGCCCAGAGAAAUUUGGAUUAAUACCCCGUAACAUAAUGAUGUGGCAUCACAUUAUUAUUAUAGCUUCGGCGCUUAUUGAUGGGUGUGCGGCUGAUUAGAUAGUUGGCGGGGUAACGGCCCACCAAGUCUACGAUCAGUAGCUGAUGUGAGAGCAUGAUCAGCCACACGGGAACGGAGACACGGGCCCGACUCCUACGGGAGGCAGCAGUAAGGAAUAUUGGUCAAUGGACGCAAGUCUGAACCAGCCAUGCCGCGUGAAGGAUUAAGGUCCUCUGGAUUGUAAACUUCUUUUAUCUGGGACGAAAAAAGGCUAUUCUUAGUCACUUGACGGUACCAGAUGAAUAAGCACCGGCUAACUCCGUGCCAGCCGCCGCCGUAAGAC
rnacentral:rRNA from 1 species